rnacentral:rRNA from 1 species
GACGAACGCUGGCGGCGUGCUUAACACAUGCAAGUCGAACGGAAAGGCCCUGCUUUUGUGGGGUGCUCGAGUGGCGAACGGGUGAGUAACACGUGAGUAACCUGCCCUUGACUUUGGGAUAGCUUCAGGAAACUGGGGCUAAUACCGGAUAGGAGCUCCUGCUGCAUGGUGGGGGUUGGAAAGUUUCGGCGGUUGGGGAUGGACUCGCGGCUUAUCAGCUUGUUGGUGGGGUAGUGGCUUACCAAGGCUUUGACGGGUAGCCGGCCUGAGAGGGUGACCGGCCACAUUGGGACUGGGAUACGGCCCAGCCUCCUACGGGAGGCAGCAGUGGGGAAUAUUGCACAAUGGGCGGAAGCCUGAUGCAGCAACGCCGCGUGCGGGAUGACGGCCUUCGGGUUGUAAACCGCUUUCGCCUGUGACGAAGCGUGAGUGACGGUAAUGGGUAAAGAAGCACCGGCUAACUACGUG